CGGGACACGUGGUAUCCUGUCUGAAUAUGGGGGGACCAUCCUCCAAGGCUAAAUACUCCUGACUGACCGAUAGUGAACCAGUACCGUGAGGGAAAGGCGAAAAGAACCCCGGCGAGGGGAGUGAAAAAGAACCUGAAACCGUGUACGUACAAGCAGUGGGAGCACGCUUAGGCGUGUGACUGCGUACCUUUUGUAUAAUGGGUCAGCGACUUAUAUUCUGUAGCAAGGUUAACCGAAUAGGGGAGCCGAAGGGAAACCGAGUCUUAACUGGGCGUUAAGUUGCAGGGUAUAGACCCGAAACCCGGUGAUCUAGCCAUGGGCAGGUUGAAGGUUGGGUAACACUAACUGGAGGACCGAACCGACUAAUGUUGAAAAAUUAGCGGAUGACUUGUGGCUGGGGGUGAAAGGCCAAUCAAACCGGGAGAUAGCUGGUUCUCCCCGAAAGCUAUUUAGGUAGCGCCUCGUGAAUUCAUCUCCGGGGGUAGAGCACUGUUUCGGCAAGGGGGUCAUCCCGACUUACCAACCCGAUGCAAACUGCGAAUACCGGAGAAUGUUAUCACGGGAGACACACGGCGGGUGCUAACGUCCGUCGUGAAGAGGGAAACAACCCAGACCGCCAGCUAAGGUCCCAAAGUCAUGGUUAAGUGGGAAACGAUGUGGGAAGGCCCAGACAGCCAGGAUGUUGGCUUAGAAGCAGCCAUCAUUUAAAGAAAGCGUAAUAGCUCACUGGUCGAGUCGGCCUGCGCGGAAGAUGUAACGGGGCUAAACCAUGCACCGAAGCUGCGGCAGCGACGCUGAUGCGUUGUUGGGUAGGGGAGCGUUCUGUAAGCCUGUGAAGGUGUGCUGUGAGGCAUGCUGGA
rnacentral:rRNA from 1 species